AGGGUGUGGAAAACAGGGCUUCCCGUCCGCUCAGCCGUACUUAAGCCACACGCCGGGAGGUUAGUAGUUGGGUGGGUGACCACCAGCGAAUCCCUUCUGUUGUAUGUU
rnacentral:rRNA from 1 species